GCCCAAAGGGCACCGUCCCACUCCCACCAAAACGCAGAAUCCCAGUCAACCCACGGGUCAACACGAAAACGCCUCCCUCGGACCUCGACCUUUCCCCCACCGUGUCCAUAAAUAUCCCCUCUCAGACGGAUCAAUCAUAUCAACAUACCACAGCACACCCCGACACAAACAUCUACCGACUUCACUUGCCGAAAAUGGUGAUGGCCGACGUUACCGGCGGCGGCGGCUGGAGGGAGGCGAGGUCGCUGGCCGCGCACGCCCUCCUCGGGCGGUGGUUCAUGGCCUUCGCCGCCCUCCUCAUCAUGUCGGUGGCCGGGGCCACCUACAUCUUCAGCCUCUACUCCGGGGACAUCAAGUCCAGCCUCGGCUACGACCAGACCAGCCUCAACCUCCUCGGCUUCUUCAAGGACCUCGGCGCCAACGUGGGCAUCGUCUCGGGCCUCGUCAACGAGGUCACCCCGCCCUGGGUCGUCCUCUCCAUCGGCGCCGCCAUGAACUUCUUCGGCUACUUCAUGAUCUGGCUCGCCGUCACCGGCCGCUCCGCCCGGCCCCGCCUCUGGCUCAUGUGCCUCUACAUCUGCAUCGGCGCCAACUCCCAGUCGUUCGCCAACACCGGCGCCCUCGUCACCGCCGUCAAGAACUUCCCGGAGAGCCGCGGCGCCAUCCUCGGGCUGCUCAAGGGCUUCGUCGGCCUGAGCGGCGCCAUCCUGGCCCAGCUCUACCACGCCUUCUACGGCGACGACUCCGAGUCCCUCAUCCUCCUCAUCGCCUGGCUCCCCGCAGCCAUCUCCGUCGUCUUCCUGCGCACCAUCCGCAUCCUUGAGGUGGUCCGGCAGAAGAACGAGCUCGAGGUCUUCUACAAGCUCCUGUAUGUCUCGCUCGGCCUCGCCGGGUUCCUCAUGGCCAUCAUCAUACUGCAGAACCAGCUCCGGUUCUCGAGGAUUGGGUACGCUGGAAGCGCUGCGGUCGUGCUCCUCCUGCUCUUCCUGCCGAUUUUCAUCGUCGUCAAGGAAGAGAUUGCUCUCUGGAAGAGGAAGAGAGAGAUCGUCAUGAACAAUGACCCUUCCCAUCACCUCAAAGUAGUCGCCGAAACUCCUCCGCCACCACCGCCGCUGCACGCUUCCGAACCUGUGCUGGCGCUGCCUCCGCCGCAGCAUACGGGGGCGUGCAGCUGCGGCAAUAUCCUCCGGCCUCCGGACAGGGGCGAGGACUACACGAUCCUGCAGGCCCUCUUCAGCAUCGACAUGCUGAUACUAUUCACUGCCACCACGUUCGGCGUUGGCGGGACGCUGACGACCAUUGACAACCUGGCCCAGAUCGGGAACUCGCUUGGGUACCCCUCCCGGAGCACCACCACAUUCGUGUCCCUUGUCAGCAUUUGGAACUACCUCGGCCGGGUUGUGUCGGGGUUCGCCUCCGAGAUCCUCCUUACCAAGUACAAGUGCCCCCGCCCUCUCCUCCUGACCCUCGUCCUCCUCCUGUCCUGCGUCGGCCACCUCUAAUCGCCUUCGGCGUCCCCAAUUCUCUCUACGCUGCGUCGAUCAUCAUCGGGUUCUGCUUCGGCGCGCAGUGGCCGCUGGUGUUCGCCAUCAUAUCCGAAAUCUUCGGGCUCAAGUACUACUCCACGCUGUACAACUUGGGGGCCGGCGCGAGCCGUCGGGAGCUACAUCCUCAACGUGAAGGUGGCGGGCCGGCUCUACGACCGGGAGGCGGCGAGGCAGAUGGCGGCCGCGGGGCUGGCGAGGAAAGACGGCCAGGACUUGACGUGCAAGGGCGUCGAGUGCUACAAGACGGCGUUCCUGGUGAUCACGGGGGCGACGCUCUUUGGGUGCAUGGUGUCCUUCUUUCUGGUCCUGAGGACUAGGAAGUUCUACAGGGGCGACAUCUACAGGAAGUUCAGAGAGGCUUCCAUCGAUUUGACGGGUAGGGGAGAUGAUUCCAAAGCCGCGGCGGUGGAAGCAGAGGCGGCGGCGGCGGCGAAUGGAGAUGAUCGUACGGCCACCGCUGCAGCAGCUGGGGACCCGACUGCCGCCUCUGCGGGGGCUGCGCGGCAGGGGACGGGGACGUGAAAGCUCACUCCGGGAAACAGAGCAUGACAGAGAGAUGGUUCGUUUCAUUGUAAAACUUCAAGUUGCCCCACUAAAGUUUACCUCGCAAACGAUAAAUCAUAGUUGAAGAAAUGAUUUGUACUUUAUUUAUCUCCGAAGAUAGAAAUUAUUGCAGAUCUUUUUACAUCUUUUUGGCGGGAGGGGGUGUUGCUGUUCUCAUCAUUGUAAAGUUCCUAGCUCUUUAAUGGCGAACAGGAAAGAAGAAAAGGUGUCCUGACUCUUGGGGUUCGUUUCGAUACAAGAGCAAUGAUUUUCCUUUU